UAGUGAGGCCUCCUGACUGGCGCCGAUGCUCUGGCACAGAGCGCCGGAUGCCGGAAAGUUGGUCAAACUUGAUCAUUUAGAGGAAGUAAAAGUCGUAACAAGGUUUCCGUAGGUGAACCUGCGGAAGGAUCAUUACCGAUACCAAUGUCGUGUCGUUUGCCUUGUGAACUGUACCAAACCAUUAGGGGUCGGCCGUCCAGGCCGUUAAAUGGCGAUCGGACGCGGAGCGCAGGAUAAAGCGCGUCGCGGCCGCCUCGCCGGCCCCGCCGGUGUUUUUUUUUUUUAAACUAACAACGUACGUGUUGAUCGUCUGAUGUAUCUAUCUGUCGGUCUCCCGUGGCCGAUAGAUGGGAAAAACAAUAAAAAAAAUGAGACAACUUGUGGCGGUGGAUCUCUUGGCUCGCGCGUCGAUGAAGAACGCAGCCAGCUGCGAUAAGUAGUGUGAAUUGCAGAAUUCAGUGAAUCAUCGAAUCUUUGAACGCAAAUGGCGCUCUUGGGUUGUCCCAGGAGCAUGUCUGUCUGAGUGUCAUGAACUCCAAAUGAUCGCAGCUAUCAUUGCUUGCGGCGUUGAGGCGUCACGGCCACCAAGCAAGUAAUGGACCAGGCCGUGUCCCUUGAAAGGCAGAGAGGAGACUCGCCGCUGUCCAAAGCGGAGGCCAAAAGUGAGUCCUUCGCGGGGCACCAUGCGAGUCGCCAGCAAGGAAGGCGAAACACUAUUCCGUGACCUCAGAUCAGGCAAGGCUACCCGCUGAAUUUAAGCAUAUUAAUAAGCGGAGGAAAAGAAACUAACAAGGAUUCCCUCAGUAACGGCGAGUGAAGCGGGAAGAGCUCAAAUUUGAAAUCUCCGAUGCUUGCAUCGGCGAGUUGUAGUUGCGAGAAGCACUUUCUAGGCGGAUCGGUGGCGCCUAAGUUGCUUGGAACGGCACGUCGCAGAGGGUGA
rnacentral:misc_RNA from 1 species